GACGAACGCUGGCGGCGUGCUUAACACAUGCAAGUCGAACGUGAUUUUUGUGGAAAUUCUUUCGGGAAUGGAAAUGAAAUGAAAGUGGCGAACGGGUGAGUAACACGUGAGCAACCUACCUUACACAGGGGGAUAGCCGUUGGAAACGACGAUUAAUACCGCAUGAGACCACAGAAUCGCAUGACAUAGGGGUCAAAGAUUUAUCGGUGUAAGAAGGGCUCGCGUCUGAUUAGCUAGUUGGAAGGGUAAAGGCCUACCAAGGCGACGAUCAGUAGCCAGUCUGAGAGGAUGAACGCCCACAUUGGAGCUGAGACACGGUCCAAACUCCUACGGGAGGCAGCAGUGGGGAAUAUUGCACAAUGGGGGGAACCCUGAUGCAGCGACGCCGCGUGAGCGAAGAAGUUUUUCGAAUCGUAAAGCUCUGUCCUAUGCGAAGAUAAUGACGGUAUCAUAGGAGGAAGCCCCGGCUAAAUACGUG
rnacentral:rRNA from 1 species